GUCUUAGUUCGUGGAGUGAUCUGUCUGCUUAAUUGCGUUUCACUAAGGGCCCAUAAAUUCAAGGUAUGUUAGCUAUCGUUUCUCAAUUGACCCCUUGUCUUCGAUAAGCGCGUGUCUUUUAGAGUUUAAACAUUGCGCAUGCUGUUGGGUCCUGAAAGCAACGAACGUGACCGCAACGUCUUAUUGCCUUUAUCUUGCUAUAUUUUAAUUUAAUUAAAAAUAGCUAACAGAGGCUAAUUUAAAAUUAGACGGACCGCUGUACUUUUCUUAAACCAGAGGAAGGUUGCGGCAAUAACAGGUCUGUGAUGCCCUUAGAUGUUCCGGGCUGCACACGUGCUACAAUGAUCAGUACAGUGAGCAUCUCAAUAUUAUACACCGUAUUAAGCGCUUAGUUGCGAUUAUUGGCUCAUUAUUGGGUCUUUUAAUUGUAUUUCUAAUGCGCGCGGUAAAGCCUGCUUCGAGAGUAAGUGGGUAAUCCAUUGGAAGUAAUGAUUUCUCUUUUUAUAGCACACCUAUAUACGGCAUUCAUUCCCGGGACGACUAGUUUCGUCUUUUUUGUGCGAAUGUAAUGUAUUCUUUAUCCGUAUGUGCGAUUGUC
rnacentral:rRNA from 1 species